GAGGAGCUGGUUGUACUUGGCCAAACGCUCAGAUCGGCAUGGAGCACCAGUCUUGAUCUGACCCGUUGACAAACCAACUGCAAGAUCAGCAAUGAAGGUAUCCUCAGUUUCACCACUUCGGUGGCUCGUCAUUACACCCCAGCCUGCUUGCUUGGACAUUUUAACAGCCUCAAUGCUCUCAGUAACAGACCCAAUCUGGUUGACCUUCAAGAGAAGGGCAUUGCAGGUCUUUUCCUUGAUUGCCUUCGCAACCCUCGUGGGGUUAGUGACAAGAAGAUCAUCACCAACAAUCUGCACU
rnacentral:misc_RNA from 1 species